CGGGGAGAAAGGAACGUGCGCUGCCACAAAGGGACAGCGAACGUUGCUUCCCCCUUUGAAAACAAAACCAAAAGCAAACAAGAAAAGGAAAGAGAAGAAGAGGGGAAGAGGGAAGAGUUUGGGAAGUUAAAAAGGGAAGCUAUGGGUCUGCUGGGAGGGGAAAGGAUUGCUGCCAAAUUUUUGUGAGAGAGGAGAAGUUCUUGCUGCAAGUUCUGGGAAAGAGGGGAAGUGGAGAACUUUUGAAGUUUUGGAGGAGAUAGACUCAAAGAAUUUACAAAGGAAGUCUUCAAGAGGUGGAUUAACGAGCGUUGGUGAUAAGGAUUUGAGUAGAGAGCGUCUGUGUGCGCCCGUGAACGUUCGUUCAUUUCCGGAUGGAGACGAGCGUUUGGAAGAUGCGUUGAAUGAAGAGAACCUGGUUGAUGUCGAAGUGAAGAUCGAGCAGUGAGACCGCUCGGCCUGUAUUGUAUUUAGUUGAAUUGAGUGGUCGUUCGACCAUCUUUUGUUUUCGUUUAAGUU